rnacentral:rRNA from 1 species
UACGGAGGAUGCGAGCGUUAUCCGGAUUUAUUGGGUUUAAAGGGUGCGUAGGCGGGCUGUUAAGUCAGCGGUAAAAGCCCGGGGCUCAACCCCGGCGAGCCGUUGAAACUGGCGUUCUUGAGUGGGCGAGAAGUACGCGGAAUGCGUGGUGUAGCGGUGAAAUGCAUAGAUAUCACGCAGAACCCCGAUUGCGAAGGCAGCUCACUGGACUGCAACUGACACUGAGGCUCGAAAGUGUGGGUAUCAAACAGG